GUGUGAUAAGGUUAAUGAUUAUCAAACGGACCAUCGCACGGGCCUUAUUAACGUAAACACAGGUUCACAAGUGGCCAAACCUGAGCAGAUGUAAUUAUUCGCUGUAUCACCUCAGAUCCCGCUAGUUCAGAUUCAAAUAUCAUUGAAGAAGCUUUCUGGCCUAAAUGACCUGAAGAAUGUAGUACUUCUCGGGAAAAUACAUGGAAUCCAGGCAGUGCUGCGGUAGGAGCAGAAUCAGCCAACCAGCACCAUGCUAACAUCUCAGCAAAGAUGGCUUCAAAAGUCUGGAGAUAUGGACGUUAUAGGAUGGAGGACAACUGUCUGAUGAAACGCUUAAUCAGCACCUCAAGAGGUUCUUCAUCCUCCUCAAGACUUCUGCAAAGCAAAACGAAGGAGCAGAUCUUUAUUGUUGUAGGGAAAAUAUCAAUAAUUGAUUCCUUUUGUCAUUAUACGUAGUGGUUUGUUAUGAAAAUGUAUUGUUGAAACUAGAAAUAUUGUUUUAAAGUAUUAAUGUAAGAACAAUGUUUUACAUGACCUUAAUAUGUUUUGUUUGUUUGUUUCUGCUCUA